AUUGAACGCUGGCGGCAGGCCUAACACAUGCAAGUCGAGCGGAUGAAGGGAGCUUGCUCCUGGAUUCAGCGGCGGACGGGUGAGUAAUGCCUAGGAAUCUGCCUGGUAGUGGGGGAUAACGUCCGGAAACGGGCGCUAAUACCGCAUACGUCCUGAGGGAGAAAGUGGGGGAUCUUCGGACCUCACGCUAUCAGAUGAGCCUAGGUCGGAUUAGCUAGUUGGUGGGGUAAAGGCCUACCAAGGCGACGAUCCGUAACUGGUCUGAGAGGAUGAUCAGUCAACCUGGAAACUGGAAAAGGUCCCAAAUCCCAAGGGGGGGAGGCGGGGGGAAUAUUUGGCAAUGGGGGGAAGCCUUACCCAGCCACGCCGGGGGGGUUAAGAAGGUUUUCGGAUUUUAAAACCCUUUUAAUUGGGAAGAAAGUGAAGUAAAUUAAUACCUGGCUUUUUGAAGGUACCCAACAAAAAAACCACGGCCAAAUUGGUG
rnacentral:rRNA from 1 species